UUGCCAAGGUUGAGGAUGUGUGCCCGUGACUCAGCAUCAGGAGAUCCUGAUGACUGACAUAUGCCCACGGUGGUCAGAGCACAGUUUGGUUUUAUACAUUUUAGGGAGACAUGAGACAUUAAUCAUCAUAUGUAAGAUGAACAUUAGUUCAGUCCAGAAAGGCAGGACAACUCCAAGCCAAGGUGGAACAACUAAAAGUGGGGAGGGGGCUUCCAGGUCAUACAUAGGUAAGAGACAAAUAGUUGCAUUCUUUUGAGUUUCUGAUUAGCCUCUCCAAAGAGGCAAUUAGCUAUGCAUUUAUCUCAGUUAGCAGAGGUGUGACUCUGAAUAGAUCAGGAGGCAGGUUUACCCUAAGCAGUUCCCAGCUUGACUUUCCCUUUAGCUUAGUGAUUUUGGGGCCCCAAGAUUUAUUUUCCUUUCACAAAAAAUAGGAAUAACAACACAAACAAAUCCUCAAAAUGAAGAAAGUAAAUUGUGAUACUGUCACAACAAUAGAACUGGAGAAAAGCUGGGGGAGUCUAGCACUGAAGACCAGAAGAGAUAAAAGCUGGAGUGUUCAAAUUUGAAAGAAAUCAGUGAAUUUCAGAGAAAGGGAAACCGACAUGCACAUGAUAAAAAUUAAUUUCCAUUUCUUGUUUUAUAUGUCCCUAAAGUAGCAUCAGGGAGGAGAAGCAAUUUGGCAAAUGUAUCUUUUGUGUUUAAACAUCAAUUUGAUUUGUUAUAGAUACUUGUCUUUCAAAUAUUACAUUUUCCAUAACUAGAAAAGACUAGAAAAAUAAACUUUCUAAACUGUUUAUAAGCUAAAUUUUAUUUUGACUUUUAAAACAGAAAAUUUCAGUAAGAGUAAAGAUCCAUAAUAAAAGGAAAAAAUAGACACUGUUCUUAAUCUUUCAUUAACUAAGACCAGGAUCUUUCAUAAACAUAAUUAACUAGAAUUGGCAUAUGAUAGAUCCAAAUGUAAAUGAUCUUCAGUAAAAAGGAGCAAGUAACCAAGAGAAAUGUGACUUAGAACAUACACCUACACAUAUAAACACACACAUAUAGUAUUAAUAUAGCAGGCUAAAAAUAGGAGAAGACACUUGCUUUUUGGAAGCUUGGGAAGUGAAAAGUUCCUUUCACCUUUCACCUGCAGCCUCAUCUCCCACAUGAUAGCCACUAUGGAUCACGAUCCAUUGUCUGGUGCCCAAAAGCUAAAAGCCAACUAAUUACUGCUGAUGGUUGAAGAAUUCUAUUUGGGCAAAGGAAAGUAGUUGGAUUGAGAUCAUUAUCCAGUAGCUCACAACUCUUUAAACUGCUGGUCAACCUGCAUGUCUUUGAAACUAAACAUCUAAAGCCUUUUAUAAUUGCAGAGAAAGUUUUGGUAUAAAAUUCAGCUCCUGCUAUGUAGGCAGAUUAGUUCACUUCUGCAUACAUGCUAAGUGCCCAUCCUUCCAAUCUUCUUCCUCCAGCCCAUCUCUUUCUAAUACCCAUUGACACUGUAAAUUCCAUUCCUGCUGGAGACAGCUGUGGCUAUAAAACUUGACUCAUGAAAAUAUUAGUGAACAUUUCUAUUUUAUCUCUGUGCUUUUCUUCCAGUUUCUUUAUGCAAACCAAGAACUGGCUGCUUCCUGCCUUUAAAAAGGGAAACCAAAGAAUCUCCCCAUUUACCUCUCUUAUGGCCCUUGUGAAAUAUCUGUCACUUGGGAAAGUAAACACAUUUACAAAAUUUAUCAUAGGAAAUCGAACCAUUUGCUGAAUCCCAAAAUAUAAGAUAUGCCUAAAUAUUUAAUAGUGAAUUAUCUAGGCUUAGAAGUUAACUGGUUAGGGAAUGGACUUUUUAGGAUCUCUACUCAGCAAUUUGAAUUUUUCCCCAAAGUCACUAAUUUAAUUAUUGAAACAUACUCAUCUUCAUUGUGUAUAACUCUUGUAGUGAAUUGCUCAUGUCUUUUCUAAAAACUGGAAAUAAUGUUGCUUCUUCCUCUGGCAACUUUUUAAAAAUUAUUUUUCUGUUUCCUGCCUCAGGCUUCAUUCCUUAUACCCAUUACAUCUAUUUAUAUCCCCAGUAACUUCCUUUUCAAAGUCCCCUCAUGUUGACAGCUAUUUCCAUACUUUUAAAAAUACAUUCUUCAAGUUACCAAGUCUCCUUAUUGUGAGCCUAAUGGCCUUUUCUUCACUGUAAUUUACUUUGAAUCACGCCAGGUGAAAAAGAAGGCUUCUGAGUUGAUGCCAGAUUCUUCACAUGAUACAAAUGCUGUCUCUUUGUCUGUAUGUUUUCAUUCCGCCAAGCCCAUUUUUUUCUUGGUUUCCAGACUAAUUGUCCUUAAAAGGCAUUUGCAUCUUAUUAUUCUCUUGCUCUGUCGAUAGCUCUCCCUCUAUUAUUGCAUCAAAUCUAAACUCCUUUGCUUGCCUUGCAUGGUACUCCAACAGUUUGUGCACAAAGUUACUUGUUGAUUGCCAAAUUUAAGCAAGAUUAACCUGGCAGCUUGCGUGCUGCAGCCAUUUCUCAUGAAGAAUGAGAAUAUAUAAAAUAUUAAAAGAGAUGAAAAAUGCCUUAUUAUAUUUCAGUUGUGUUCAUUUUUAAACUCAAAUUUCAGGUUAUCAUACAUUAGAAUUUCAGUCCUGAUAAAAUACAUUACUUAAAGGGGGAGAAAAGGCUUAUGGUAGCUGAAAAGUUCAUCGCCUCAUUUUGCUAAGUUAUUUAUUAUAGGUUUCCCCAGUUGCCUUAUUUUUAGAAAAGAUUUGUUGGCUAAGAGUGAUCAGAUGCAAAGCUCAAAACUACGUAUACAUAAGUUAUAUGUUAUCACAUAUAACAUAGGGAAAUGGUUACCAUUAUGAACUCAAUUUAUUUGUUAAUAUUUCAUUAAUUUCACGUUAGUAUUUCUUCCUCAAAGCCUAACCCACAGAGAAUUUCAUUACCACUACCAUUCAGAUAUCAAAUCUCUUUCUAAAACAAAGUAAAGAAAAAUCUUUUAUAAAAAUGGAUCUUUAGUUUUAUAGACAAAAGAAACUGUGAAAAAGAAGAUUAAAUCUUCAUCAGUUUAACUCACAAAGCAAACGCAUAGGGAAAUAGCAUUAUUCAACAUUUAAAUUGUUUUAAAUCAGUCUUGGGAGUUUUUUAGUCUAUCCAAGGUAAAGGAAUUCUAUACCCAGUUAUGCUAAAUUCCUAAAUAGUAGAUUCAAGUAAAUCCUCCAUUGAAAGAAAUAAAUCACUUCUGUGCUGAGGAAGCUCUAUUAAGAUACAAUCUGAAAGAUCUAUCGAGACCUGAAGUGAAAUACAUACAUUUUUAAAAGGAUAAACAUAGGGGGAAAUGUCUCUAAUGCUUUGUAGUGAAUAUAUCCACCCAAAUGUUCCAGAGCUCCCUGAUUUAUUCUCAAGUAACAACCUUGGCUCUUUAAACAUUGUUUAUGAUGGUCAAAUGAGAACAUAUACAGAGUUUCAAUACAAGCUAUCUGCCUAGUAGACUUCCUUUUGAGAGUAAAACACUCUUAAAGCAUCAUUUACUUUCACAAACAGCAUAUGCACACCAUGUGGCACCCAUUCUUGUUAACACCAAAGUAGCAGUUUGAGCUUAACAGCUUGGGAGCUCUGUUUAUAAUAAUAGUAAUACUCGGUGUCAAGUCCUCAGAGUUUCAGAUGUCAAAGGUGAUCAUGAACAUAAAUGCAAAUUCCCCAAAUCUGCUCUCCUGGGAAAACGAUUCUUGCCAAGGCCAAAGAAGUCAGUAGACAUACAAAUACUUGGUCUCCAGCUUCUAAUAAGCCCAGGAAUUGUCUUUCCAAUUUCACUGCAUCACCUUCAUCUGGUUCUAAUGUAUACACAUGUCUAGUGAAUUAGUUCCCCUUGGGGGAAAAUUUUGUUGUCUCAAGAGCUUGAGAUUUUCAAUGAAGUGCCAAUGAUCUGAUACAAAUUGUUGAAUUUUUUAUUAUAACUGUUCCCUUCUUUUUAUACGAGCCUGUUUACUUUUUGAGCACCCUGAAACCUUCUAGCAUUUCAGAAUAAUGUUUAAAACAUUGCAUUAUUAAGAAACUUUAAAAUUACAGCUGUGAAAACAGACCUAUGUCAUUAUAAUCAGUGAGAAAGUCCCUUAACUGGGAUUUCAGAAUAUAAAAGGAGCACCUGCAGAGAAUUGGCAGGGUGAGAACCAAAGAGAAAAGAGAGAAAGAAACAGGAAAAAAAAUUCAUCAAGCAAAGAGAAUGGGGUGUUUCUAUUCUUGACAAUCCAUUUGAAAAAAUGAAAGUGAGUCAGUAUUUGAGAAGAAAACUUAUUUUAUGGGGGAGGGAGGGUAUAGUUACUUACUGCAUUAGCUUACACAAUCAUUUACUAUAUCUAUUAAAUCACUUAUACUUUUCCAUUUUAAAUAGCUAUUAAUCUAUCUGUUUUACCUAUAGACUGUGAGCUCUUCUAGUGUCACAGCGUGUGUGCAUCUGACAAACCAGCACCUAGUAUAUAGUAGAUAUUCAGUAUUUGUAGUUGAAUAAAUGAUAGAGACUAGAAAUAAUAUGGAAAACAUAUUUUUAUCAGACUAAGAUACAGAAGUAGGAAAAUGUUCAGCGAAGGAAAAAUAUUCUUCCAUAUAAGCAUUGCAUUAAUGGAAAAAAGUGUUCAAUAUGCAUUUACAUGCUCUGCUAAAACAACCACAAAGAAUUAGCAAAUUCUGUAACACUCAUUUGGGGAACCCUCAUGUCUCAGGAUAGCCUGUGUGUGUCCCACAGUGUGCAGUUUUUCACUGGUCAUUGAAUUCCCUGGGUUUUAGGAGUAAAGGAGGCAGAUAAUAGUAUUACUGUUUCUGUGAUUUGGUUUUGUAGAAUGUUGUCCUGAUAAGUGAGGAAGAUGAGACAGGCAAAAGUCCUCCUGAAAGCAUAGUUCAGAUAAGUCCAACUUAUCAGGAGAGAGAUUUCAAAAAGGAGUUGUUGGACUGACGGACAGAGCAAGUAGUGUCCAAUUUCAGUUGAGGCCCAAGCAUGACCUCUUAUGUCUCUUUGCCUGUCCUGGUUUGUCAAACUUCCCAGUCCUCUCAGAGUUGAUAAGGCAUCUUCUUCGGUUUCCUCGAGGUGUAUAAACGAUGGCUGCUCCUCUUACAUUCUUCCAUGUCUUCCACCAUGAAAAACAUGACCUCUUUUUAGUUUGUUCCCAUUAUAACAUGGUCAUUUAUUUUCUUUUCCUUUCCUUUUAAUCCAAACUUUUUUGGCUUAAACUUCUCUACUUGCCCAUCAACAUUUUACUUUUCUACCCACUGGGCUCUGGCUUCCAAUGACCUCCUAAUUGCCAGAUCUAUGGACACUUUUAGUACUCAUUGUAAUGAUGUCUCUGUUGCAUUUGAUACUGUUGAUUCCUGCUUCAAUCAUUAUACAAAAACGCUGACAAUAACAGGCUAAUUAUGAGCAUUCAUAUAAGUGCUUAGGAGAACUUUUUAAAAAUAGUAUGGGUUCUACAAAAUGUUCAAUAUUAUUAUUAUUUUAUUCAGUUAUCUUUGGUAUUCCUUUGUGUCCAUCCUUUUGAUUGCAGGUGUCCCUCAUCUAGUGUCCUCAUCACCCACACACUCUUGCUGGAUAAUUUUAUCAGUCUUUUGAUUUCAAGAACUAUUGUGUUAUUACUACCAUAUAUAUAUAUAUCUUUAGCCCAGUGCUCUGCUAAUCUUUAUAUUUAUAUAUCUAACUUCCUGCUGUAAAUCCCCAUCUCGACUGGCAAAUGUCUCCUGGGGGUACAGUCGUUCCUUGUUGGAAACCACUAGUUAACUCAUACUUGGUUAUUUGUAUCUUUCCUCAGGUGACUAUAGACGUCCUGUGAGCCAACACAAUGUCUUCUUCAUUCCUAUGUUCCUCAGACACAGCACAGAGCCACACGAACGGAAGCAUAAAAACAACUUACAAUUCUCAAUUUAGAAGAUCUUACUUUAAUGGGAGCUCAUAUUUAUACUCCUCCCAAGACACACACACAAUAGUCUCUGUACAUACCGUUAAAUUUAGUCCUUUUUUCUUUUUCAAAAAGGAAGCAUCUGGAAUGCUUCAAUAACGAAAAAAGUACAUGAUAUGUUAAAUAUGCAGUGCCAAAGAAACACUCGGGAGAAAGUCCAGCAUGCAAUUGGAAAUUCAAGGCUGCUCAUCAGUGGAGUAGCAAGUCUGAAAACAUUUGUCAACUCUGCUUGAUCUUUCCACAUACCUCAUCGGCUGGCCCCUUGGGCCCAGAUUUCAACUGAUACUUCUGGCAGAAAAUGCUUGUACCAGUCUACGCCUAACAAUAAAGAACCCAGUUCCCAACUUCGACAUUUGGCUGGUGCUCCGGUGACGCCUGUCCCAAAAGAGAAAAGCCAAAGAAGUAAAUCUGAGUUACCUGAACAGAAAUUAAAAUUUCCCACAUAAAUAAAUCUCAUGAUUUCCAA